UACGUAGGGUGCAAGCGUUAAUCGGAAUUACUGGGCGUAAAGCGUGCGCAGGCGGUUAUGCAAGACAGAUGUGAAAUCCCCGGGCUCAACCUGGGAACUGCAUUUGUGACUGCAUGGCUGGAGUGCGGCAGAGGGGGAUGGAAUUCCGCGUGUAGCAGUGAAAUGCGUAGAUAUGCGGAGGAACACCGAUGGCGAAGGCAAUCCCCUGGGCCUGCAUUGACGCUCAUGCACGAAAGCGUGGGGAGCAAACAGG
rnacentral:rRNA from 1 species